GAUGAAGAACGUAGCGAAAUGCGAUACUUGGUGUGAAUUGCAGAAUCCCGUGAACCAUCGAGUCUUUGAACGCAAGUUGCGCCCGAAGCCAUUAGGCCGAGGGCACGCCUGCCUGGGCGUCACACGUCGUUGCCCCCCCCAUCUACUCCUUCGGGAUUGCGGGGGGCGGAUGAUGGUCUCCCGUUCACCUCGUCGCGCGGUUGGCAUAAAUGCCAAGUCCUCGGCGACGCACGCCACGACAAUCGGUGGUUGCGAAACCUCGGUUGCCCGUCGUGUGCGGUCGUCGCGCAUCGAGGGCUCGAAAAAAUUGCCGGGCUCCGGCUCGGCUUUCAACGCGACCCCAGGUCAGGCGGGGUUACCCGCUGAAUUUAAGCAUAUCAAUAAGCGGAGGA
rnacentral:misc_RNA from 1 species